rnacentral:lncRNA from 1 species
AACGCGCUGAGGUCUGUUUUAUGUUUUGGAAGAUUUGUUCUUUGGCUUUUUUGCAACAAAUUUUGUUGCUGCUCAGUCUUUGGGUCCACGUUGCCUUUAUGAGCUGUAACAUUUACUACGAAGGUUUGCAGCUUUGCUCCUGAAGCCAGCAAGACCACGAACCCACCAGGAGGAAGGAACAACUCCAGACGCGGUGCUUUAAGGAGCUGCAGCACUCACCGUGAAGGUCUUCAGCUUCGUUCCUGAGCCAGUUAGACCACGAACCCACCAGAAGGAAGAAACUCCGAACACAUCUGAGCGUCAGAAGGAACAAACUCCUGACACACUGCCUUUAAGAACUGUGAUAUUCACUACGAGGGUCUGCGGCUUCAUUCUUGAAGUUAGGGAGACCAAGAACCCACCAAUUCCGGACCCAGGAGCACCAGCACGAACGUUCUGGAUAUUCGGCUCUGAGUCGGUUUGUUGUUCAGGAUGGUUUAAAGGUUUUGGCAGAGUUCAAAGACCGGGAAGCAAAGUUCAGCCAUGUUGGGCCUUUGGGCUCAUAGAUGAGGAAGGGUACCCCAA